CAAGUCAAAUUAAAAUCAUCCAUCAUAUAACAUCGCAUAAUACAUCUCCCAGGUUUACAUAACACAAUAAGUCAUCUCUUGAAUACAUUUCCUUACACAGGAAUAUAGCAAGAACAAAUAGAAUUGCAUAAUAGAACAAUAACACAUCUGCACAAUAGAAUGGCACAUCAGCACCCAGGCCUUCUCCUUGCCACUCAGGCACUGCUGCAACUUCUCCCAGGCGGAGCUGAUCCAACCUAGCCCCAGCCCAAGGUGCACCAGCCCCAGCCCGAGGCAGUCGCAUAGGCAUGGCCCUUCUUCUACAAAUGCAAUUCAGAAGCACACUCUUAGGAACUUUUAUGAAAAUAAACAGUUAAUUGAAAAUGCAAUAAAAUACAGUAGCAGUAAACAUGAUCAAUGUGUUACAAUGCCAUGAGGAGCAAAACAUUAAGAAUGAUGAGUGCAUAAUAUACUAGUUCUUUUUUCAAGUAGCAGGUUAUGGAUUGCAUUUCUCGGAAAAGCAUGAAAGGUCAGUAGAUGAGCUGCCAGGUUCAGGAACCUGGUGGUAAUUCAGUUGUUGGUUUACUAAAGCUUAUAUGUUUUCCAAGUAGAAGGGUCGUUGUUCUUCUGCAGUUUUGCUAAUGCGUUCAGUUAGUUAUGUGACUGUCACACGGGACAAGAGGAACCCACACCCAAAAUUCUUAAAUUAUAGUUCCUAAAAAUGAGAAUAACAUAGUAUCUACUACAUGUAGAAUGAACCAAAUAAUUUUGACUCUAUGACAAUUCAUGGCUGCCUUUGGAAUGACCCAGAUGGCACCCAGAGCCACUGUAGCUGUGAAUCCAAGCACUGUAGGCCGCUGGAUGGAAGCCAGUGAAUGGCCGGAUAGUAUUUCAAUGUUUGAUUCAAACUGAUACACUAUAUAAUGAUACGCUAUAUAGUAGUAUAGAAAAACAUACUACUGUACAAUAGAACAAAAAGGAUGCUCGUAAUCAGAUAAGAAGCUCAUCCCAUAACAAACUGAAUCAAGCUCUUCAGAUUGGCUUUACUCUCAUCUAAUGGAUGGAUUCGUAUACACCAACACCAUGAGGUUUCCUCAAUUAUUCUACUCAUUCUAAUCACUGAAAAAAUCAUGAAUUCGUACAACACUUACUAGAAUAUGGGAUCUGUCAUCAGCAAAAGAGAGAGAUGCAUGUUCCGGGGAGGAGAAGAAAGACCUUGUCGCUCUCGAGGUGAGAGGGGGGUGCAGCUAAUGUGGGGCUGGAGGUCCAUGGUGUAUUGGACCAUGGAGCCGGACAGCCGGUGGUCCUUCUUCUCCACCUCAUCAGGUCUGCAAAAUCAUCAACUGGUUUCUAUAUUUUUGACAUUUUGUAAAAUGCAAAACUAAGUCUGUUGAGUUUAGAUGUUGACGGGUGAUUUUUGAAACAAAUACUUGGCAGUAAGCACUCCAAAAUUUCUCUAA
rnacentral:lncRNA from 1 species